CCCUUAGACGUUCUGGGCCGCACGCGCGCUACACUGACCAGUGCAACAAGCAUCCGUCCUUGGCCGACAGGCCCGGGCAAUCUUUGAACGCUGGUCGUGAUGGGGAUAGACUUUUGCAAUUUUUGGUCUUCAACGAGGAAUUCCUAGUAAACGCAAGUCAUCAACUUGCAUUGAUUACGUCCCUGCCCUUUGUACACACCGCCCGUCGCACCUACCGAUUGAAUGGUCCGGUGAAGCCUCCGGAUUGGCGCGCACCUCGGUGCCGCCGAGAAGUUGGCUAAACCUUACCAUUUGGAGGAAGGUGAAGUCGUAACA
rnacentral:rRNA from 1 species